rnacentral:rRNA from 1 species
CCUACGGGUGGCAGCAGUAGGGAAUCUUCCACAAUGGACGAAAGUCUGAUGGAGCAACGCCGCGUGAGUGAAGAAGGGUUUCGGCUCGUAAAGCUCUGUUGGUAGUGAAGAAAGAUAGAGGUAGUAACUGGCCUUUAUUUGACGGUAAUUACUUAGAAAGUCACGGCUAACUACGUGACAGCAGCCGCGGUAAUACGUAGGUGGCAAGCGUUGUCCGGAUUUAUUUGGCGUAAAGCGAGUGCAGGCGGUUCAAUAAGUCUGAUGUGAAAGCCUUCGGCUCAACCGGAUAAUUGCAUCAGAAACUGUUGAACUUGAGUGCAGAAGAGGAGAGUGGAACUCCAUGUGUAGCGGUGGAAGGCGUAGAUAUAUGGAAGAACACCAGUGGCGAAGGCGGCUCUCUGGUCUGCAACUGACGCUGAGGCUCGAAAGCAUGGGUAGCGAACAGGAUUAGAUACCCGUGUAGUC